GAUAUCAAACUCUACAUAAUCUGUAAAUCUUCUCCUUGCAGCUCGUUCCAGACGGGGGUCAAGUUCAGGGACACCUGAUCUGGACAGCUCCAAGAGCACAACAGUUUCCUCCACCAGUGGCCAGGCUAUAGACACCUUCUCAAGGGGGGGGGGGGUUCAUGCAGUUGGACCUGGCUGCAAUGAGCCAUGGCUACAACCCCUCAACCACCAAGCAGCCCCUGUGAUGCCGGAUCAAACGUAUAGCCCUGCUGAGGGAACCUUUUUGAAUAACACCACAAGGCAGGCGAACGUACCUUGGCAGGCCUGCAGAGAGCCUUGGCUCCCAACGCCGGGUUCCAACCAAGCCUGAACCCUGCUGGUGUUUGGGGAAACAGAGAGGCGAUGCUGGUGCCGGGUGACUGUUCUAUGCAUAUAGCACAUAUUCAAUGUAUGCGUCCACAGCCUUAUCUGGAUCGAUGGCUGAGGAUUAGCGUAGCGUUAGCGCAUCGGAUGACACCCCGAGGACUGCAGAGAGGCCACAACCCGUGGCUCUGCUGUGGGGUGACGUGAGCCACCCCGCCACCACCUGUUCUCCAUCAACCACUCCAGUGCUGUUCAUCAGUGAGAACAGGGAGGCGGGGCCGGGGCGGG
ensembl:lncRNA